GGAAACCCCUCAUCUUCAUCGUAGGAGUUGUUCAGUCAAUGAUGUUUUUCUUGGUGGUUCAGAUGAUGGUGGUGGUGGGUUUGGUUGGAGGCCUUGCAUGUAUUUUGCUAGAGGGUUUUGCAAAAAUGGGAAUAGUUGCAAGUUUAUGCACAGUGGAUUUCCUGAUUCUUCUUCUUCACCAGAUGCUAUUGUUGGUUCUCCUAGUAAAGUUGACUCUGUUGAGGAUUUC
rnacentral:misc_RNA from 1 species